rnacentral:misc_RNA from 1 species
UCCGGUUUGUCACCGGCAGUCUGGCGUGAGUCCCCAACUUAAUGCUGGCAACACGCCACGGGGGUUGCGCUCGUUGCGGGACUUAACCCAACAUCUCACGACACGAGCUGACGACAGCCAUGCACCACCUGUCACGGGCCCUUACGGACACCAUAUCUCUAUGGCUUCUCCCGUGAUGUCAAGCCCAGGUAAGGUUCUUCGGGUUGCAUCGAAUUAAGCCGCAUGCUCCGCCGCUUGUGCGGGCCCCCGUCAAUUCCUUUGAGUUUCGGUCUUGCGACCGUACUCCCCAGGCGGGGCGCUUAAUGCGUUAGCUGCGGCACGGAACCCGUGGAAUGGAUCCCACACCUAGCGCCCAACGUUUACGGCGUGGACUAC